rnacentral:rRNA from 1 species
GAGUUUGAUCGUGGCUCAGAUUGAACGCUGGCGGCAGGCCUAACACAUGCAAGUCGAGCGGUAGAUAGAAGCUUGCUUCUCUUGAGAGGCGGCGGACGGGUGAAUAAUGCCUAGGAAUCUGCCUGGUAGUGGGGGAUAACGCUCGGAAACGGACGCUAAUACCGCAUACGGUCCUACGGGAGAAAGCAGGGGACCUUCGGGCCUUGCGCUAUCAGAUGAGCCUAGGUCGGAUUAGCUAGUUGGUGAGGUAAUGGCUCACCAAGGCGACGAUCCGUAACUGGU